GAGUUGAUCAUGGCUCAGAACGAACGCUGGCGGCGCGUUUAAGCAUGCAAGUCGAGCGGCAAGGGCCUUCGGGCCCCUAGAGCGGCGGACGGGUGAGUAACACGUGGACAAUCUGCCCCCCGGCCCGGGAUAGCCCAGGGAAACCUGGAUUAAUACCGGAUGAGACGGGACCCGCGAUGGCGGGAUCCGGGAAAGGCGCUGCGGCGCCGCCGGGGGAUGAGUCUGCGUCCCAUUAGCUAGACGGCGGGGUAACGGCCCACCGUGGCGACGAUGGGUAGCCGGCCUGAGAGGGUGGACGGCCACAUUGGAACUGAGACACGGUCCAGACUCCUACGGGAGGCAGCAGCUAAGAAUCUUCCGCAAUGGGCGAAAGCCUGACGGAGCGACGCCCGCGUGAACGAAGAAGGCCGUGAGGUUGUAAAGUUCUUUUCGGGAGGGGGAACAACCGUGGCAGGGAAUGGCCGCGGGAUGACGUGAAUCCCGGAAUAAGCCCCGGCUAACUACGUGCCAGCCGCAGC
rnacentral:rRNA from 1 species